rnacentral:rRNA from 1 species
UACGGAGGGGGCUAGCGUUAUUCGGAAUUAUUGGGCGUAAAGGGCGCGUAGGCGGCUUGAUAAGUCAAAGGUGAAAUCCCUCGGCUCAACUGAGGAACUGCCUUUGAAACUAUCGAGCUUGAGGCCGGGAGGGGGUAGCGGAAUUCCCAGUGUAGCGGUGAAAUGCGUAGAUACUGGGAGGAACACCGGGUGGCGAAGGCGGCUACCUGGACCGGUUCUGACGCUGAGGCGCGAAAGCGUGGGUAGCAAACAGG